GACGAACCGUACGAACGUUAUUCGGAAUCACUGGGCUUAAAGGGUGCGUAGGCUGCGCAGCAAGUUGGGUGUGAAAUCCCUCGGCUUAACCGAGGAACUGCGCCCAAAACUGCUGUGCUCGAGGGAGAUAGAGGUGAGCGGAACUUAGGGUGGAGCGGUGAAAUGCGUUGAUAUCCUAAGGAACACCGGUGGCGAAAGCGGCUCACUGGAUCUCUUCUGACGCUGAGGAGCGAAAGCGUGGGGAGCGAGCAGG
rnacentral:rRNA from 1 species